GGAGAGGAAGAGGAAGAGAACACAGAAGAGCCGCCUCAGGGAGAAGAAGAAGAAAGCAUGGAGACUCAGGAGUGACCUUCCCCAAGGGAAAAUGAGCCUGAGCCAGCCACCACGGGGCUUCAGAUGGUGGCAUUUCUGUGGUAUAGGGAGAUAGCAGGAAGGAAAACAGACUGUAAAGAAAAUGUCAUUCUAGUGUUUUGAUAGUGGCCAAGCAGCUAGAAAUCUCCCAUUUGUGACUGCAUAUGCCAUCCGUCCAUCUGUAAUGAAGCAGAUGCCACACAUUCCCAAUAUUUAAACCUAACCACUCC
rnacentral:lncRNA from 1 species